rnacentral:lncRNA from 1 species
AAAAAAUUGCCCCAUUCAUCUCCAUUAUCCCAGUUUUACCAUGCAUCUUCCAACUUGAUUUUUCUGUUUUUUUCCUGUGCAAUUGUUCUUUUUUCUCAACAGCUUAUUCUAGUCUAUCAACAUCUCUGCUCUUCCAUGAUCUAUCAGAACUCUUCUUUCUUCAUUCCCACCCCUUCCCCCAUUUCCAAUAACACACUCCCAUCUCACAGAGCCCUUCUAGAUGAGUCCAUCUCUGACUCCUGCACCCAAGCAGCCAUGUGGAGCAAAUCGCAGCCAGAUGAGAGGCACCACUGUAGAUUUAUGCUCACGGACUUCACAUAGAUCCUCCACUGUCUGCAGGGGAAGAUCUCAGUUUGCUGGGACCUGAAGUUUAUACAGUUUGCGGGGGGGGGGGGGUCCUUUUAAAGAAAAGGAAUAUGCAAUUACAAAUACAAAAAUAAAAUGAAUAGGCAUUUAGAAUGAGGAAAUAAAUCACCAACAAAUUCCUGAAGCCUUGGAGGGACAGGCGCCUUUCUUCUAAGAUCUAUAGGUGAUGCCCAGAAUCCUUCCAUACAUAGGCUUCCUGAGUAUACCUUGGACUCUCUUGCCAGCGUGGACACUCCACCUUUCCCCUCUGUCUUCUCUACAGUCUUAGAGCCUGUGCAACAAGAAGUCCACCCUGAAGCUUCCACAGCUUCAUGCAUGUCUCUGCCACUUGGUGUCUCAGUCAGUUCAGGCUGCUAUAACAAAAUACAUUAAACUGGGUAAUUUAUAGACAAAAGAAAUGUACUGUUCACAGUUCUGGAGACUGGGAAAUCCAAGAUUAAGUCAUCAGCAGAUAAGUGUCUGUGGAGAGCCUGUUUCUUGUAGGUGGCUUACUGUGUCUUCACAUGGCAGAAAGAAUGAACAAGCUCCUUCAGGCUACUUUCAGAAGGACACUAAUCCCAACAUUCUUUCUCUUAAUAGCAACAUAAGAAUGUUAGAGGGACACAGACAUUCUGACCUUAGCACCUGGCAAUCCCACUUUAUAUGAAAAAUUCACUUGUCUACUCUCUGC